rnacentral:rRNA from 1 species
UGGUGGUGCAUGGCUGUUCUUAGUUGGUGGAGUGAUUUGUCUGGUUAAUUCCGUUAACGAACGAGACCUUGACCUGCUAACUAGUGUCACACUGCUGCUGUUGUGUGUCAGACUUCUUAGAGGAACUUUGUGUGUCCAGCAUGAGGAAGUUUGAGGCAAUAACAGGUCUGUGAUGCCCUUAGAUGUUCUGGGCUGCACGCGCGCUACACUGAUGUAUUCACCCAGUUGUCAUGUUGCCUGAAAAUGUGGGGUAAUCUUUGAAAGUGCAUCAUGAUGGGGACUGACUAUUGCAACUAUUAAUCUUCAACGAGGAAUUCCUAGUAGGCGUGAGUCAUCAGCUUGUACUGAUUAUGUCCCUGCCCUUUGUACACACCGCCCGUCGCUCCUACUGAUUGAGUGACCCGGUAAACAAUUUUGGAUCAUAGUGUUGCUCAGUCCUAGAGUGCCGCUUUGCAAAGUUUGGUGAACCUUAUCACUAGAGAAGAGAAGUCGAGCAUGCU